GACAUUUUUAUGAUGUCAGCGUAACAGUCACGUCUAUUUCUGGUACACUUCACGGAGAUUACACGUACUUACUGGUCGUACCUACUUAAUAAGCAAAUGUGAGGGAAUUUAAGGCGUCUCCAGCUGUCGAUCCGAAGAAAGAAAUCAUCGGGUUAUCGGCCAACGUCGGAGCUGUAGGAAGGAAACAUCAUGAGGCACAAGAGCUUUUUUCCUACCUAUUGGCUGGUAGCCUUGGAGGAUAUUUCAGCUACGCCCCGCUGGGUAGGUGAGCUCACGGGCUCAACCUGAAAGGAAUUGCUAACACUAGCCCUAGCAAGAGCAGUGCUUCGCAGAAUCUACCAUCUGCUUCGCAGAAUCUACCACCGGAUCGGAAUCGUCACCCAUUGAGAAGCACAAGAGCAGUGUAGCCGUUUUGCAAUACAAUUGAACGUCAUGUCUGUUAUGUAUAGAUAUUAAGUCACAUUAUAAAAGGGCAGGUAGUUGCAAAAAUAAAUCAGUCUGCUUUGGAAUUCCGACUUUCAUUUGUAAUACACAACAACUGGCGACGAGGAUAAUCAUUUAAAAACAUUUUCGACGCGUGUUUUCUCUUAAAUUGUAAUAAUGCCGAUUGGGAAAGUUGAAAGUUUUGAUAUGGGAUCUCAAAAUUGGGACACAUACAUUCGUCGUGUAAAACAAUUCAUGGAACUCAACGACAUUGAACAGAGACUUCACGUUGCAACGCUCGUAACCUUAGUUGGGUCUGAGUGCUAUGACUUAAUGUGUGACUUGUGUGCUCCGGACUUACCAGAAGAAAAGGAUUUCGACAUACUCGUAAAAUUAGUCAAAGAUCAUCUAGAACCUGAAAGAUCGGAAAUAGCAGAACGUCAUAUCUUCAGGCAAAGAAAGCAGCAAAAUAACGAAAGCAUUCGUUCCUACCUACAAAGUUUGAAACAUUUGGCUAAAACUUGCAAUUUCGGCAUCACAUUAGAAAUUAAUCUACGCGAUCAAUUCGUAUCAGGAUUAUAUAGUGAGGAGAUGCGAUCAAGGCUGUUUGCUGAAAAAGAUAUAGAUUACAAGCGCGCUGUUGAGUUGGCAUCAGCACUGGAAGCAGCGGAUCGACAUGCGAUGGCGGCUGGGGGCACUGGGGGCAGCUCACAGGCUGCGUCCGAGAGCGAAGGCAUGCAUCGGGUCGGCGGAGCGCGCGCGGAGGCUCGCUGCGCCUGCAGACGCUGCGGCAAGCUGGGCCAUGCGGAGGGUCGGUGUCGGUACAAGCACUACACCUGUGACUCAUGUGGCGAGAAGGGACACCUAAAAUCAAUGUGUCGGAACCGUAAAGGUAACCAAAAGAUUGAAAAAAACCGAGGUCAGUACUAUUUAAACCAUAGUGACUGUGAUUCUAGUGAUAAUAGUUUUUAUAACUUAAAGGACCUGAUCAGUAGCGAGGGUGAAGGACCAUAUUACGUGAAAAUUUUUGUUCAAAAUGUUCCAUGUAAAUUUGAGAUUGAUACGGGUUGUAAAAUUUCGGCCAUAUCUAAAGCUUUUUAUGAAAAGCAUUUUAUGUGUAUUCCUAUACAAAGCGAAAUCUUGAAUUUUAGUUCAUAUACAGGCGAUGUAAUUGAGACUAUCGGUUAUAUAAUGGUAGACGUAUCUUGUGGUCGUGAGUCCGCCAAAUUAAAACUAUAUGUAAUUAAAAACGGCGGCCCGCCACUGCUAGGCCGAAUUUGGAUUAAAAUAUUAAAAUUAAGUUUUCUAAAAUGUCAUUCGAUUUCUGAGACGACCUCGACGGUGGAGGCUUUACGAAACGAAUUUCCAGAAGUGUUUGCUGGAGGUUUAGGAAAAUGUAAAUCACGCAUAAAAUUACAUCUAAAAGAAAAGACGCCAAUAUUUGUAAAGGCGCGGGCGCUGCCACUGGCGUUGCGCGAGCGCGUUGAGCGAGAACUUGAUCGUUUACAAAGUGAGGGAGUUAUUUACAAAGUAGAUAGGUCUGAUUACGGCACGCCUAUCGUACCAGUCGUUAAGGCAAAUGGCGAUAUUCGUAUUUGCGGCGACUAUAAAAUCACAAUAAAUCCACGUCUGAAGGAUUAUCACUAUCCUUUGCCGCACAUUAAAGAUUUGUUUGCCACUUUAGGUGGUGGUGAAUAUUACACAAAAUUGGAUUUAUCUAAUGCAUUCCAGCAAUGCCUCUUAGACGAAGAAUCCCAGCCGAUGACAGCGAUCACGACACACAUUGGUACUUUUGUCUAUAAGCGCGUUCCGUUUGGAAUUAAAUGCAUUCCGGAAAACUUUCAGAAGAUUAUGGAAGAGAUUCUAAGUGGUCUGCCGUCAACCGUUAUUUUUGCGGACGAUAUAUGUGUAACCGGAAAAAACAGGUUUGAACAUUUAUCAAAUCUACGAGCAGUGUUGAGGAGACUCAAAGAAAACGGAAUAAGAAUUAAUUAUGACAAAUGUAAAUUCUUUCAAAGUUCUGUUACGUAUUUAGGCUAUAAAAUAGACAAACAGGGCUUACACACUGACAAAAAGAAAGUUGAUGCCAUAGUGGCCGCCCCCGCACCUACGAAUUUAACUCAAUUGAGAAGUUUUAUGGGUCUUGUUAAUUUUUAUUCGAACUUUGUUGUUAAUAUGAGUGAUAUUUUGAAACCUUUAUAUAAUUUGUUAAAAAAAAAUGUAGAAUGGUGUUGGACAGAUAAAUGUCAACAAGCAUUUAUACGAAUUAAAAAAGUGUUAAGCAGCUCUCCGGUACUGGCACAUUAUAACCCAAAUUCGCCAUUAGUGCUGUCCGUUGACAGCAGCCAGUACGGACUGGGCGCCGUCCUCACUCAGAAGCACAUCGACGGCACUGAGCGGCUCGUCAGCUGUGCCUCACGGACUCUCGCGCCAGCCGAACUUAACUAUUCUCAGCUGGACAAAGAAGCUUUGGCUAUAAUGUUUGGGGUUACUAAACACCAUCAGUAUUUGUACGGGAGACGUUUUGUUUUACGAAGUGAUCAUAAGGCUUUGAGUUAUAUUCUUGGAAAGAAUAAAGGUAUACCUCUAACCGCCGCGAGUCGUCUGCAACGAUUUGCUGUAAAGCUAGCUGCGUAUGAUUUUGAGAUCGAAUUUAUUAGUUCUACAGAUAAUUGCCAGGCUGACGCGCUAUCACGACUUCCACUGGAUACUAAUUUUAAGAAUAAUAUUAAGGAGUAUAAUUACCUAAACUUCGUUCAAGAAAGCUUUCCACUCAGUUUUAAAGAAAUUAAAAAGGAAGUUACGAAAGAUCCUUUACUAAACAAAAUUUACGAUUACGUCAUGUUUGGCUGGCCCUCUGUCAGUAAAGAACAAGCAGAAAAACCCUAUUUUAACAGAAGAGAAUCCAUACAUAUUGAUCACGGUUGUCUUGUAUGGGGUUACAGAAUAAUAAUUCCAACUUCAUUGCGAGAGACUGUGUUACAGGAGUUACAUGAGGGACAUCCGGGUAUUGUUAAGAUGAAACAAUUAAGCCGGAACUACGUAUGGUGGGAGACAGUCGAUGCGGACAUUGAACGUGUAUGUGCUCAGUGCCAGGCCUGUCGAUCUCAGCGCGCUGCACCACCAUCGGUGCCGCUGCACUCGUGGCCAUGGCCGGAAGAGCCGUGAGCGCGCCUUAAUCUUGAUUUCUUGGGACCGUUUAAUAACAAAUAUUACUUAAUUAUAGUGGACGCUCAUUCAAAAUGGAUCGAGGUGGAAAAAUUGAGCUGUACAUCAGCCACGGCAGUAAUCGCAUGUCUCAGACGAUUGUUUGCUCGAUUUGGCUUAGCAAAAAAGGUAGUAACUGAUAACGGACCACCUUUCUCGUCGAUCGAAUUUAGAACAUAUUUAAGUAAAAACGGUAUAAAACAUUUACCGGUGGCUCCGUAUCAUCCAUCUAGCAAUGGUGCAGCGGAAAACGCCGUAAAAACCAUAAAAAGAGUGUUGAAAAAGGCUUUAAUUGAAAAGGAAGACGACAAUACCGCCUUGACAAAAUUUCUCUUUAUGUACAGAAAUUCUGAGCACAGCACUACAGGGCGCGAACCAGCAGUUGCUUUGUUCGGACGUCGCCUGCGUGGAAGACUGGAUCUGUUGCGUCCAAAUACUAGCUCCAUAGUACGAGAAGCACAGCUGGCAAGCGAAAGCUAUAAUGCAGGCACAGCCGGAUAUAGGGAGGCGGCAGAAGGAGACUCGGUCCUAUUGCAAGAUUUCACACAGGGAAAAAAGAAAUGGACCACAGGAACAAUAAAAAACCGCUCAGGUCCGGUGACAUACAGGGUAACAGCAGAUGACGGGCGGGUACACAAACGUCACAUCGACCAGAUUUUAAUAAGUAAUAAUAGUCGAAAAUCACGUUAUUCUUUGUCCAAAUUAAACACUGAUUUCGAGACAAAAUCAGUAAAUGAUAGUGUGGGUGAAGUUCGGGAAAGUCCGUGUAUGACCGGAGAAAAGGAGCUCAACUCCAGCUAUGACACGGGACCGGAAAGUCCACAACCUGUGACUCCUAGUCACUCGCCGGCGCCGAAUGUCUUGCAACCAUCGCGUCAGCGCCGUAAAGCUGCUUUAACGUGUAUUCAGAGAAUUAAGGACCAAAAUUACUAAAUAUAUUUACAUAUGUGUGUAUAAGAUUAUAUACUUUAUUUAUGACAGGUAUACUAGUAAUCUAAAUGUCGAGAAUAAGAACAACAUGAAAAUUGUGUUUAGAGCCUUAUAGGGUUAUUGUUCGCAUAUUAUUUGGUUAGGAAAUAGCGGUAUAAACAUCAUUUGUGUAUAUGUAUUUUUAUGUUAGUUAUAAUCAUACGAUAUUUGUUUCCUGUGAACACUCACUUUUGAAAUUGCCUGUUUUUACUGUCAUGUGUAAGCAAUAUCAUGUAACGCGUUGUUUCAACCAUGUUCUCUCAUUUAUUCAGCAUUCGGGAAUUUGUAUUCCAUUAAUUUAAGAGGAGGACAAUGUUAUGUAUAGAUAUUAAGUCACAUUAUAAAAGGGCAGGUAGUUGCAAAAAUAAAUCAGUCUGCUUUGGAA